GUGAGGAAUUUUCCGCAAUGGGCGAAAGCCUGACGGAGCAAUGCCGCGUGAAGGAUGAAGGCCUAUGGGUUGUAAACUUCUUUUCUCAGAAAAGAAUUAUGACGGUAUCUGAGGAAUAAGCAUCGGCUAACUCUGUGCCAGCAGCCGCGGUAAGACAGAGGAUGCAAGCGUUAUCCGGAAUGAUUGGGCGUAAAGCGUCUGUAGGUUGUUUAAAAAGUAUUCUGUCAAAGAUUAGGGCUUAACCCUAGAUAGGCAGAAUAAACUUUUAAGCUAGAGUUUGGUAGAGGCAGAGGGAAUGCCCGGUGGAGCGGUGAAAUGCGUAGAUAUCGGGAGGAACACCAAAGGCGAAGGCACUCUGCUGGGCCAAUACUAACACUGAGAGACGAAAGCGAGGGGAGCAAAUGGGAUUAGAUACCCGGGUAGUCC
rnacentral:rRNA from 1 species